rnacentral:rRNA from 1 species
AAAUAGAUACCCAGGUAGUCCACGCCCGUAAACGAUGAGUGCUAGGUGUUGGGGGGUUCCACCCUCAGUGCUGAAGUUAACACAUUAAGCACUCCGCCUGGGGAGUACGACCGCAAGGUUGAAACUCAAAGGAAUUGACGGGGGCCCGCACAAGCAGUGGAGCAUGUGGUUUAAUUCGAAGCAACGCGAAGAACCUUACCAGGUCUUGACAUCCUCUGACCACUCUAGAGAUAGAGCUUUCCCCUUCGGGGGACAGAGUGACAGGUGGUGCAUGGUUGUCGUCAGCUCGUGUCGUGAGAUGUUGGGUUAAGUCCCGCAACGAGCGCAACCCUUGACCUUAGUUGCCAGCAUUCAGUUGGGCACUCUAAGGUGACUGCCGGUGACAAACCGGAGGAAGGUGGGGAUGACGUCAAAUCAUCAUGCCCCUUAUGACCUGGGCUACACACGUGCUACAAUGGAUGGUACAAAGGGUUGCGAAGCCGCGAGGCCAAGCCAAUCCCAAAAAGCCAUUCCCAGUUCGGAUUGUAGGCUGCAACUCCG